rnacentral:rRNA from 1 species
GUGACUGCGGAGGACAUUA